rnacentral:sRNA from 1 species
ACCAGGCAUGGUGGUGCACGCCUGUAAUCCUAGGGACCUGGGAGGUUGAGGCAGGAAAUCACAAGUUCAAAGCCAGUCUUAGCAAUUUAGCAAGGCUCUAAGCAACUUAGUGAGACCCUGUCUCAA